rnacentral:rRNA from 1 species
ACUCCUACGGGAGGCAGCAGUGGGGAAUUUUGCGCAAUGGGGGCAACCCUGACGCAGCAACGCCGCGUGAGUGAUGAAGGCCUUUGGGUCGUAAAGCUCUGUCAGAGGGAAAGAAAUGUGGGCGACUAAUAAUUGUUCCACUUGACGGUACCCUCAAAGGAAGCACCGGCUAACUCCGUGCCAGCAGCCGCGGUAAUACGGAGGGUGCGAGCGUUGUUCGGAAUUAUUGGGCGUAAAGCGCGUGUAGGCGGCUUAUUAAGUCUGAUGUGAAAGCCCUGGGCUCAACCUGGGAAGUGCAUUGGAUACUGGUAGACUUGAGUACGGGAGAGGGCAGUGGAAUUCCCAGUGUAGGAGUGAAAUCCGUAGAUAUUGGGAGGAACACCGGUGGCGAAGGCGGCUGCCUGGACCGAUACUGACGCUGGGACGCGAAAGCGUGGGGAGCAAACAGGAUUAGAUACCCUGGUAGUCCACGCCGUAAACGAUGAGAACUAGGUGUUGCGGGUA